GACGAACGCUGGCGGCGUGCUUAACACAUGCAAGUCGAACGGAAAGGCCCUGCUUUUGUGGGGUGCUCGAGUGGCGAACGGGUGAGUAACACGGGAGUAACCUGCCCUUGACUUUGGGAUAACUUCAGGAAACUGGGGCUAAUACCGGAUAGGAGCUCCUGCUGCAUGGUGGGGGUUGGAAAGGUUCGGCGGUUGGGGAUGGACUCGCGGCUUAUCAGCUUGUUGGUGGGGUAGUGGCUUACCAAGGCUUUGACGGGUAGCCGGCCUGAGGGGGUGACCGGCCACAUUGGGACUGGGAUACGGCCCAGACUCCUACGGGAGGCAGCGGUGGGGAAUAUUGCACAAUGGGCGGAAGCCUGAUGCAGCAACGCCGCGUGCGGGAUGUCGGCCUUCGGGUUGUAAACCGCUUUCGCCUGUGACGAAGCGUGAGUGACGGUAAUGGGUAAAGAAGCACCGGCUAACUACGUG
rnacentral:rRNA from 1 species